CGUGACGUUGCAGUCGGCAAAGCAAGCGACUGACAAGAUAUUCAAUUCGAACUCAAUAUUUUAUUCGAAUUUCGAAUGUGAGAGCAGCGCAAGCGAAUUCGCCGCAAGAGAGUGUGAGCACGAGAGCACACGACGGCUCAACUGCGCUUGUGUGUGUGUGUGUGUGUGUGUGUCGAUUUCGUUUGCGUGUGUGCUUUGGCGACUUGAAAGAAUGUGUCUCGAGAUAAAGCGCUUGAUUUAUACUGAAAAGAUGGAAAAUAAAAUGCCUACAAAAUGCGAGAGAAGCUUGAAAGAAACGCCGUUUAGCACAUUAUCGACAUUUGAAUGAAACAGACUUUCAUUUGGACGGCCAUUUUGAUAAAGUUUUUUUUUUGCCCACAUUUCGAAAAUGCCAUAAAAUAUAUAUUUAGAUUCGAUUGGAUAUAAUGAAUACCCCUAGCAAUGAGCAGACGAAUAUUUCAAAAUGUCAUAAAUGUUGAAAUACGAAAUAUUGGAAAAA